AGCAGCCACUCAUUAAAAGAGUGCGUAAUAGCUCACUGGUCGAGUGACUCUGCGCCGAAAAUUUAACGGGGCUAAACUAUACACCGAAGCUUGGGAUACAUCUAAUGUAUGGUAGGAGAGCGUUCUGUAUGGGGAGAAGUCGUAGCGAAAGCGGCGGUGGACUGUACAGAAGUGAGAAUGCCGGAAUAAGUAGCGAGAAUUAAGUGAGAAUCUUAAUGGCCGAAAGUCUAAGGUUUUUGGAGGAAGGUUCGUCCGCUCCAAGUAAGUCGGGAGCUAAGGUCAGGCCGAAAGGCGUAGCCGAUGCACAUACGGUUGAUAUUCCGUAACCAUCUGUAAUUUAAGCAAAGGGACACUUCAAAAGGGUGUGACCCGGGCGUUGGUUGACCCGGGCGUAAGGGACCGAAAUUAGAGUAGGGAAGCACACUUGGCUGAAGGCGAGAAAAGCUUUGCGUAUAGAAACAGAUGCCCGUACCGCAAACCGACACAGGUGGACAGGAAGAGAAUUCUAAGGCCAGCGGGAGAAGGGUAGUUAAGGAACUCGGCAAAUUGACUCCGUAACUUCGGAAUAAGGAGUGCUCGAAAGAGCCGCAGAGAAUAGGCCCAGGCGACUGUUUAGCAAAAACACAGGUCUCUGCCAAAUCGAAAGAUGAAGUAUAGGGGCUGACACCUGCCCGGUGCCGGAAGGUUAAGAGGAGGAGUGAGAGCUCCGAAUUGAAGCCCCGGUAAACGGCGGCCGUAACUAUAACGGUCCUAAGGUAGCGAAAUUCCUUGUCGGGUAAGUUCCGACCCGCACGAAUGGUGUAACGAUCUGGGCACUGUCUCAACUACCCACCCGGCGAAAUUGUAGUACCGGUGAAGAUGCCGGUUACCUGCGGCAAGACGGAAAGACCCCAUGGAGCUUUACUGUAGCCUGAUAUUGGGUUUCGGAAAUCUAUGUACAGGAUAGGCGGGAGACUUGGAAACAUGAGCGUCAGCUUGUGUGGAGUCGAUGUUGGGAUACCGCCCUUAGGUUUCUGGAAUUCUAACCUGCGGCCGUGAAUCCGGUCGGGGGACAUUGUCAGGUGGGCAGUUUGACUGGGGCGGUCGCCUCCGAAAAGGUAACGGAGGCGCUCAAAGGUUAGCUCAGCACGGACGGAAACCGUGCCUCUGAGUGUAAACGCAAAAGCUAGCCUAACUGCGAGGGUGACGGCCCGAGCAGUAACGAAAGUUGGAGUUAGUGAUCCGGCGGUAUGUGAAUGGAAAUGCCGUCGCUCAACGGAUAAAAGCUACCCUGGGGAUAACAGGCUGAUCUCCCCCAAGAGUCCACAUCGACGGGGAGGUUUGGCACCUCGAUGUCGGCUCAUCACAUCCUGGGGCUGUAUUCGGUCCCAAGGGUUCGGCUGUUCGCCGAUUAAAGUGGUACGCGAGCUGGGUUCAGAACGUCGCGAGACAGUUCGGUCCCUAUCUGUCGUGGGCGCAGGAUAUUUGAGGAGCUCUGUCCUUAGUACGAGAGGACCGGGAUGGACGUACCUCUGGUGCACCAGUUGUCAUGCCAAUGGCACGGCUGGGCAGCUAUGUACGGAACGGAUAAACGCUGAAAGCAUCUAAGCGUGAAGCCGACUCCAAGAUUAGAUAUCCCAUCGUAUAACGAGUAAGACCCCUUGAAGACUACGAGGUUGAUAGGCUGCGUGUGUAAGUGCCGUGAGGCAUUCAGCUUGGCAGUACUAAUAGGUCGAGGGCUUGACCAC
rnacentral:rRNA from 1 species